rnacentral:piRNA from 1 species
AGCGGCCCCUCUGCCUCAG